GGAAGUUUAAGAGCUCAGGACUUUGGGCCAGGGAUGGGGCUCCCACUGGCCCCCACCUCACCCUGGGCUCUCAGAGGGUGUGGGGCACAUGGGAUCACUCUGCACUACAGAUAAGGAAACUGAGGCCCAGAGGGAAGUGACCCAUCUGUGUUCACACCACUGUCAGAAGGAAAGGCUCUCAGGGCCCCAGAGCAGGGCAGAGAUCCAGAAGGAUGUCUGGACGCAGAGUAAUGCUCAGUGGGUAAUUACUGGCAGAUGCGGUGCUCAGCCCGGCAGAUCCCUGCUGCCAG